GAUGAACGCUGGCGGCGUGCCUAAUACAUGCAAGUCGAGCGAACGGACGAGAAGCUUGCUUCUCUGAUGUUAGCGGCGGACGGGUGAGUAACACGUGGAUAACCUACCUAUAAGACUGGGAUAACUUCGGGAAACCGGAUCUAAUACCGGAUAAUAUUUUGAACCGCAUGGUUCAAAAGUGAAAGACGGUCUUGCGGUCACUUAUAGAUGGAUCCGCGCUGCAUUAGCUAGUUGGUAAGUUAACGGCUUACCAAGGCAACGAUGCACAGCCGACCUGAGAGGGUGAUAGGCCACACUGGAACUGAGACACGGUCCAGGCUCCUACGGGAGGCAGCAGUAGGGAAUCUUACGCAAUGGGCGAAAGCCUGACGGAGCAACGCCGCGUGAGUGAUGAAGGUCUUCGGAUCGUAAAACUCUGUUAUUAGGGAAGAACAUAUGUGUACGUAACUGUGCACAUCUUGACGGUACCUAAUCAGAAAGCCACGGCUAACUACGUG
rnacentral:rRNA from 1 species